rnacentral:lncRNA from 1 species
AGACCGUCUCAACCACUUGGUCAACAACUUCAAGCCGAUCAUCGCUGAUUUGCUCUCACUCCCGAUGCCCACAAUAGCCGCCGUUUCCGGUCACGCCGCCGCCGCCGGAUUUAUGCUCGCUAUCAGCCACGACUACGUUCUCAUGAAGAACGACAGAAGCGUGCUGUACAUGAGCGAGCUGGACAUUGGCCUGACCUUCGCCGACUACUUCAUGGCAAUGCUGAAGUCCAGGAUCAGCGAUCCGGCUGCAAGACGCGAUGUGAUGCUGAGAGCAAAAAAGGUGAAAGCGGAGGAGGCGGUGAGGAUGGGGAUUGUGGAUUCGGCGCACGACAGCGCGGAGAGCACGGUGGAGGCUGCGGUGCGCCUGGCGGAGCAGUUGAGCGGUCGUAAAUGGAACGGCGAGGUGUAUGCUGAGAUCAGGAAAGCGAUGCAUCCCGAAGUAUGCGGACUGCUGGGAUUGUCUCAUAGGGCCGUUGUGGCGCCACGGCUUUGAGAAAUCAAAGUCAUUUCCUUGCUUUGUUAUUAAACCAUAAAUAUUAUCAAAAACUGUCUUAAAUUGUUCAGCACCGCCUCGGUUUGAUGAUCAUUCGCUGCGAAGGUCGUGAACAUCUGUGGCAUCUGUCUGAUCUUAUAUCCGUAUAAAUUAAGUGUACUCCUGUACUGCUGCACCCCCAAUUCUGCCAUUGUUGAGUCCCAAUAGAUGGUUUGCUUAAUUCCAAUUGAAGAAGAAAUAAUCGUCAAAUUUAUAUAUUUAAAUUCUCCUAAAAAAUAACCUAUUCCUAUUUUUCAUAUAAAUCUAUGAUUUUGAUUAUUUACUUUUAGAUUAAUAAGAAAAUUUAUUUAUAAGAAAACCUGAGAACAAUUAUUAUUAUUGUUAAAAGGUUAUAUUCCCAAUGACAGGUUUGCGUGAUAAUAGAUCAGUGGCUUCUCUAUUCUCAUCGCUUCUUCAAGGAUGAAACCAAGAAGAGCAACAACAUUGAGAAAUGUUCAAAUAGAAAUGGAAUCGGCUCCAUUGUAAUAAUGACAACUUCAACAUUCAUUAAGUGCCAAAGCCUUCAACCUACAUUCCAAGCCCUCUCAUCUUCUCAAGUUGUUUUGAUUGGGCUUUCAACUUUAGUUAUAUUUUAGGGUUUUGUUCAAUUGAAUUGUGUAAAAAUAUUUGAUUUUUUUGGAAAUUUUGGAUCUUCUUUCCUUCCUAAAUUGAGUUUUGGUUUGAUAAUCAACUUCAUCUAGUAUUGCUCCAAGUGUGAAUCUGUCUCAAACUCAUUUUUUUUUUUCCCAAUAUUUUCUUUCUGAAAGCCAUUGUAAUAUCUCAAAAUAUUUGCAGUGUUUUUUUUUUCAUAAAAGUGUAUAGGCAUGAAAAUUAUGAAAAUUGAGGAUUUUGUGGAUUGAUGUAAUAUUAUUGGUUUUGGGAAUAUCCCAUCAAAACAAAAACACAUAUAUGAGUUGAGACAUGUGGGAUAGUUUUUUCAUUUUUUAUGUAAACAGGGAUGGGUACUUAUCAACAUGCCCCAACUUGAGUUUGGGACGGGAAUGGGAUAGGGGUGCCUUGUCCCAAACCCGCCCCGUUACCAUCCCUAUUCCCAAAUGACCAGUCUUAAAGCUUUAAAAGCAAAAAGCUUUUGGAAUCCUAGAGACAUAUUAAUUGAAAAGUAUGAAAGAUUCUAAAGAAGCUUAAAAAUGCCCAUAGUCUCUACACAAGAAUGAAAAAUAAAGGGAAAAGUGUGUAGUAUUCUAAGGAGUUCCAAAGAACUCUUUAGCAUCUAUUUAACACAUAUUUUGUAUAAGGGUUUCUAAAGAAUUCUAGAGAUAUAGGAAACUUUAGUGGAUUCCAAAGAGUUUUUGAAUUUGCAUAAAUAGGAAAUGAUCUCAUUUGAUCAAAACAUCAAACAGUUGAAAGGCUUUUAGCAUUAUAAAAAGUUUUUGUGCAAUAUAAAACUCCCUUUAUAAAAAGUUUUUAUGCAAUAUAAAACUCCUUUUAUAAAAAGUUUUUAUGCAAUACAAAACUCCCUUUCAAGGUUGAACCAUAAAUCAUUGAAGAACCUAUUCCGGAGUCAUCGAUAGAAUAUCCAAGGCCUAUGGAGCCAAAGCCUAUUCCUAAUCCUUAAAUAGCUAACACAAUAUUUGGCUCGGCCAAAGGAGCCAACCUUAUUAAGUUGUCACAAAUUAUGUCGGCCAUAUGUCUUGAUAGCCAUAACAGCACUCACCAAACAAGGGUGAGAGUGGCAUAUUUAGCCAACCGACCCUUUUAUAUCGCGACUCCACCAGCCUCUCCUUAUUUGUAGUUAAAUCCUUUCAAUUGGUUAUUUCGUCCAACCGAUGUGGGAUUGGUAAAUGUACUCAUAGAAUAGGCUCAACCCCCGUGACACUUGGGGAGACCAUGAUAGGCCUUUGGUUGGUGUUUCCUUUUAUAAGCACCUUCCAACAUACUAUGCUCUACGCCUCUUAUUGCUAUGCCUCGGGUCCUGGAUCAAUUGGAUCAUCGAUCUGUAUCUUCAUUCGUACAUGUGUAUGGAUCUUCAUCUUCAACCUCGGGAUCCCCUAUGAGAUCUUCUUCCAGAGAAGCUCCUGCAUAUGCUGCCCCUAUCUAUUCAUGGUUCUAGAUCCAGAUAUGGUAUUGGAAUGGGCUAUGCUUCCACUUAUGUUACUGGUUUUCAAACCCAAGCAUCUUCAUUUCAGUCUGUAAAUUGAAAAGGAAUAGGUCGGUCACGGACUUGGAUUAGGAAUAGGCUUUGGCUCCAUAGGCCCUGGAUAUUCUAUCGGUGACUCCGGAAUAGGUUCUUCAAUGAUUUAUGGUUCAACCCAGGCAGACAACGUCGAUUUAAAUCCAGAGGCUAUGGUUCAACCCGGUCACAGAACUGUAUAUAUCAAAGGACGGGGCGACAAAAAGGACUUGUUUGGUUGAAUCAUUCAAGCCAAACUGACCACUAAAUCCUUCCUAUGGUUCUGUUAACAAGAAGGCUCUGGUUGUCGAUGUCUAUUUUCAUAUACCGGAUUAGGGUUAUGCUACUAGGCAAACUAUCAAAUAACGAGAAAUGGGAACCGAUGGUCCCUGUACCGCUAUGUUUGUUUAUUGAGUGACACCUAGUGACCCUGUCCGGACUUAAUUAAUCUCGAACUCUCAAAUAGAAAUAGACUUUUCAGGACAAUUAAAGGAAACAUUAAAAGCACAUUGGCGCGAAGUCUAUGCUAUAGGCGGCUUUGCUCUUUCUCUUUCUGCUUCCGCUUCUUACUACUUAGAUACUUUCAGCAGGGGGGGCAGCUGGUGGCAACAUGGAAUGCAUGGUCAGCUAGCUCUUCAGGUAGGACCACUCUGGUUGAUAGCUCAGGUUCUGGUUUUGGAGCUCGAGCCGGAGACAUUAAAUGCUGGAAAACUGAUCUAUUCAAUCCGCCUUGAUAGAACAGUACAUUUUCCACUUUUACAAAGCUUCGCAUCAAUUUUAGAGAGCAUGUUCAACUAAGAAAUAACAUAGUAUACAAUUAGAGUAGGAAACAUAAAUUCUUUCCCCUUUUUUUUUCUCAAAAAUACCAAGUACCAUCUAGAAAAUUUACGGGUCAAAUCAAAUGCAAUAUUGUUUCAGUGGGAAGUACGGCUCUUCUUAUAUACAUAAUUUCAUGGAAGUAUUAAGAGAUAAAUUCUCGCGUGUAAUGUUAAUAUGAACCUUCACAAAUAUUAUUGUAGACCCUUCAUUUUGUCCCUUUAGCACAUGUUUUUAAGUUCACUUCCAAUGCUCCAUGGUAGUUCCUUGGUGGCCCAUUACUACUCAUGUAACUUAUCUUUUUUUAAGUUACCUCAAAGACUCUAGUUGAGGGAUUUAUCUAACCCCUUAUUGUGACCCUUACCAGUCUUAAGUUAGGCCUAGGAUUUUUUUUUUGAUAGCUCAUUUAGAUACACUUUUAGGAUAGUAUAUCUAGGCACACAAGGCCAAUUUAGAUGCACUUGGCCCACCUAGGCUCACCUGGACCCAUUUUGCAACAACUUGGCCCACUUAGGUUUACCUAGUCUUGCUUAGGUCACUUUUUUGGCACAUUUUGCAUGUCUCGUGUGGCUUGCAUGACUAGCAUGACUCGUUUUUGUAAAAUCACAGGACUUGACUUUUUAUUAUUAUAUUUUUGUUUAUUUUAUUUAUUAUCUUGUCUAUUUCCUUAUUUAUUUUAUUUUUCUAUUAUUUUGUCACUUUUCCAUAAUACUUGUCAUUACUUAUUUAUUUUAAUUUAGUAAUUUUGUUUAAAUAUUUAUUAUAUCAUCAUCAUUAUUAUUAUUAUUAUUAUUAUUAUUAUUAUUAUAUUUAAUCUAUUAACUUUGAAGUUUUGUAGGGAAGGUAUGGAAGGUGUGCACGGUCACAUGGAGAUUGAUAUUUGGAAGGUGGGAUUUCCUUGGAUGCAUGGUCAUUGGAGAUGGGAUGGAUACCAUAUUGAGAUUGAAAGGUAGGUGAGGACGUUUUGUGAGAGUUUAAGGGAUAGACACAAUUUAAAAAAAAAAAAAGUAAAAAAAGGAAAUAUGAAUAUUGAGGGGAUUCUCAAGGAGAGGAAGACACGAUUUGAGGUGGAUUUAUGAAGACUCACGGCUUUGAGAGGACUCUUCAGGAAAAAUCCAUGGUUGCAUGUGGUUUUUUUAUAUAUAUAGAUAGGAGGAUUUGCACGUGGGCUGCCAUGUUGAUAAGAAUGGAGCACACGCGCUCCCUUUAAAGGGGAGAACCACGAUUGGGAAAAUGCAACAGACUGUCACUUUGGAGACAACCACAAAUCGCACAAACCUAUCUUAAAGGAGGAACAACCUGCAUAAAUAAAAAAAGCUGCCACUUUGAAGACUCCACAAGGCAACAUGCACAAUUGAAAAUGAGCACAACGCAACCGCACCAUGGGAUUUUUUUUCUCCAUCAUGCAUGGGAUCGGUGGUCACUUUGAGAGCAUAAAGGCAUAUAGAGCCGCACCACUUUGGAUUUUCUCUAAGGAACACGCACAAUCCACAUAAAAGAACAAUCGCACCACUCUCAUCAACACAACUGUAUAUAUAUUUAUGGAAUAUUAGAUUUUUAGGGAGUGGGAAGACUCCACACAUCUCUAGCAGCACGCCACUUUGGAGAAGAAAACAGCUUGUACCUUUGGACUUCGAAACAAUCCCCAUGCAUUGAUCUGAAAGGUAAGUUCACAUUCUUAAACUCGUUUUAUUUUAGUUUCGAUUUAGAUUUUUUUUUUAUUUCUUGUUAUUUCAAUCCAUUGGUAAAAUUGCAUUUGUGCUAAAAUUUUUAUUUUUUAAACCUAUUUUCAUUCAUUUUAAUUAGUUUGGAUUUUAGUUUUGAUAAGUACGGAUGUAUUCGCUGUAUUAGCUCUGAUGAUUGGAUUUUAGUUUCAAUAAGUAGGACGUAGUUUGCUGUAUUGGUUUUGAUGAAUAAUGGACUUUAGUUUUUGAAUGAUUGUUGAUGCUAAUUUAGAUUUUAGUUUUUGAUAAAUAAUGAGGUUAGUUUGAGUUUGAGUUUUAAAAUUUCAUUGAAUAUUAGUUUCUUUAAGUUUACAUGUUUGGUGCCUUUUAAAAACUUAUUGAGCAUCCAUUUGUUUAAAUUCACAUGCUAGAUGACUCUUAAAAAAUUAUUGAGUUUCAGUUUGAUUAUAUUCACAUGGCAGAUACCUCUUAAAAAAUUCAUUGAGCAUUAUAUGGGAUGUUAUAUGUGACUGAAUUGUUAUUUUUUUUUAUCUUUGUUACUUAUUUUAUAGGCACCUUAGGGAAUUCUUAAGUCUGAACUUUCUUUUAGAAAAUGUUUUUUUUUUUUUGUUAAAUUGAUAUUUUGAGUUGAGUCAAACUUUCUUUUUUCAAAAAUGAAUUUUUCCAUCAUAAGUUUGGAUUCUUGAUCCCAAAUGAAAGGUAGUAAAAAAUGGGAACCCAUUUAGCUUUUCUCUUAUUUUCAAAACCCUUUUAAGUUAGAAAAAAAAAAAUCUCUAUGUUGUGUCUAUUGAUUGGGAUUUAACAAAUCAUUGAGUCCUUUUUUUUUCUUUUUGUUUUUUACUUCCCUUAAAGUCAUUUUCAAAAGCAUUCAAAUCGCCAAUAAAAGGUUUUAGAAAAACAUUCAUUCUAGCUUUAGGCAAAGAACACAGUUUCUAUUAAAAUUAUGCAACUCAUUUCAUUUAAGUUGCAUGUCUCUUUUGUUGGUUUUUCAAAAAUUUGGUUUUUAUUCACAUAGGUUUGGACUUGUGCUCCCAAACUAAUGGGGAUACACAGGUAAAACUUACGGAAAUUGAAUAGGGACUUGAUGCAACCCUUACAUAAGAAAUUUUUUCAAAACUCUUCCUUGUUGUCAGUUUUCACUCAACCACUGACCAUUUAGAUUUAAAAUUCGUUUCAGCAACUUUAGAAUAUUUUAAAAAAAUUUCCAAAACUUGUACGAUUUUCCUCACUUCUUGAACUUGAAUUUAAAAUUUUGUUUGAGUUAAAAAGCAAUUCUGGGAUAGAAGAUAUAAAUGAGUGUUUAGGAGGGCUUUGUUUUCACCCAGUUUUGGACACCAAAAUCUUUUUUCCCAAAAUAAAAUAAUAGAUGACUUUUUAUUUUGGGAGAAUUAUGUUUUGGGGGUAGAUGGGCUCCCAAAUUAACAAAAGGUCCAUGUAACUCUUCAAAUUGAGUCCAAGACCCAAUGAAAGUAUGGAAAUUGAGUUGAAGGAUAUCAUCCUUUAGUAUUUCCAAAAAUGCCCUUUGUUGAUUUUGAGAAAAAAAUUAAUAUUUUUGAAAAAUACUCUUAUUUAAUUUAAUAUUUUUUAUUUAAUUUAAUAUUUUUAAAAAAUGUUUUUAUAUAAUUUAAUAUUUUUUAAAAUACUUUUAUUUAAUUUAAUAUUUUUUUAAAAUAAAUUUAUUUAAUUUAAUAUUUUUUUAAAUAAAUUUAUUUAAUUUAAUAUUUUUUAAAAAUAAAUUUAUUUAAUUUAAUAUUUUAAAAAAUACUUUAAUUUAAUUUAAUAUUUUUGAAAAAAAAUUAAUUUAAUAUUUUUGAAAAAAAAAUUAAUUUAAUAUUUUUGAAAAAAAAUUAUUUAAUUUAAUAUUUUUGAAAACUACUUUUAUUUAAUUUAGUAUUUUUGAAAGAAAAAAAUUAUUGAAAAAAAAUUAUUUAACUUAAUUUUAUAAAAUAUUUUGUAUGUGUUCUUAAAGGGUAUAUUUGUCCAUUACUAUUUCAUAUCCUUCAACUCAAUUUAAAAAGUUAUAUGGAUCUUUUGUUAAUUUGGGGACCCAUCUACCCCCAAAACAUAAUUCUCCCUUUUAUUUUUGAUUUGACAUUUUUCCUUAAUUUUAAACUUCUUGAAAUUUAUAUUAGACAUAUAAAAUAUUUAAAAAUAUGCAUUUUUGAGGGAGAUUUGAUUUUUCAAAGUUGUAUUUACUGUACAUGACAGAAUCUUAACAACUUAUUAGUUAUAGUGUUUUAAAAAUAUUUGUGUGUAUUAUCUGAGCCUGGAUUCAUUUUUUAUGUGAUAUAGACACUUAGAACAAUGUGUGUGACUUUUUGUAUGAUUUUAUGUGAUCUCUUAUUAUUUUUAAAAAAUUUGUUUAUGCAUACCACUUUUUUUACCUAACCUAGACUUUAUAGAACUUUUGGGAUGUCUUUGCUGCAAUCUAUCAUUUGAAUGAGUGUUUGACUUUUGAUAUGUUGUUCUAGAUGUAUAGAUGUUGUUUCCUGAAAAUUUUCAUAAUUAAAUUCCACUCCAAGACAUUUUUUUAGAAAUUAUUUUGUGGUGCUCCCUUUUCUAAUUGCAUGCUGAUGAUCUUGUACUUUGCUUGAAUUUGCUAUUUAUUUUUUGGAGUCAUUCAACUUACCUUGGCUCAAUUUUGGCUUUGGUACUAUAUAUUAGACAUAAUAAAAAUAUUAUAUAAUAUAUACUUGUCCUAACCACUCUAGCGUUUUUGAAGGAAUCUUAUAAAUUGUGCAUGCUAUCCAAGUAUGCUCUCUAUCACUUACUUUUUGGAAUUCUAUGAACAUGCAUGUUGUUGUGAACCUUAUUUAUGUUUGAUCCAUCCUUGGGUGCCUAGAUGUCUGUUCAAUUUACUCUAAUUAAAUACAUGUCGUGUGCUAUAUUUUUGUGCUAACUUUAAUGUCUUAUGAUAGCGCUUGAGAGACAGUUUAGGUACACAUCCAAACCUUCCUUUGCGAUUGUGAUGUGAUUUUUUUUUAGCAUACUAGUUUUGAAAUCACCUUAACCUAUUUAGGUACCUUUGAUCAAUUGAUUAAUUGUCACUUUUCCCUCAACUUAGUCAUUAGAGACCUCUUUAGGGCUUAAAGAAGUGCUACCUCUUAGAGGUGCCUUUCCAAUAAGUAAUAUGAUCCCAAACCAAGUUGCUUUUCCUAAACUAUAAAGUCACGUCUUUAGGGUUUUUUUUUUUUCUUAUUUUGCUUUCCUUUUUAUAAUAAAAUAAAAUAAGUGGCGACUCCAACUUUUUCAAAACUAUUUUUUCAUCAAUAAAAAUAAGUCCUGCCAUUGAGUGAGGACACACGUGAAAAAUGCGGGUCCACAAUCAUAUUUAAAGUAUGUUUGACAGUGAUUCUAGAAAACGUUUAUAGCAUUUUUAAUACUUAAAUGAUAAAAAAUUUCAAGUAUUAGAAAAGUUAAAAAUGUUUUCUAAAAUUAUUACCAAACAAACCCUUAACUGCACAUAAAAAGAACCAAUAUGUCAUAUAUCUCUUAAUUUAUUUUUCUAUAUUUUAUUCCGAUUAAAUUUUAAAUAAAAGAAUGAUAUUUUUAGUUUUAAAGUUUCUCCAAUAAAAUUAGUUUAGAAAUUAAAACCAAACAAAUUAUUUAAUAAAUUCAAAAAAGAAAUUGAUAAUAAAUUCAUUUUUUAUAAACUCAAAUUUCACAUAACUACGAGAAUUGUGUUUUGCGCCAUUGGCUCAAAAAUUGAUUAAAGAUUCAUAUAUAAUGUAUAUUUAAAUCUAAAAUUUAAAUAAAAUAUAAAAAUUAAAUUAAAGGAUUUUAUCCAUCAUUAAUUAUUAAAUACCCCUGGACACGGGCGUAAAUUUCAAUUUUUUCUUCCGUUGACCUCCGGGGGAACUCUUAUUUGAGAUUGCGAUAAGGAGGGGAAACAUUGCGAAUCCCAAGAGGUACUACGCUGACCACGACCACCAUGUGCACCUUAGAGCAGCGGGGCAAUCUCUUCUUCCUAACCCUAACCGGCGACAAUGAACACCGAUUAGGCCCCUCGCUCUUCGACUCCAUCAGAUCCGCUCUUGCUCAGGUUAAAUCCCAAGCCACUCCUGGCUCUGCUCUCAUCACCACCGCCCAGGGAAAAUUCUUCUCCAACGGCUUGGACCUCGCCUGGGCCCAAGCCGCCGGAUCCUCCAGUUUCCGAGACCGUCUCAGCCACUUGCUCGACUGCUUCAAGCCGAUCGUCGCUGAUUUACUCUCACUCCCGAUGCCCACAAUAGCCGCCGUCUCCGGUCACGCCGCCGCCGCCGGAUUUAUGCUCGCUAUCAGCCACGACUACGUUCUCAUGAAGAACGACAGAAGCGUGCUGUAUAUGAGCGAGCUGGACAUUGGCCUGACCUUCCCCGACUACUUCAUGGCGAUGAUGAAGUCCAAGAUCAGCGAUCCGGCUGCAAGACGCGAUGUGAUGUUGAGAGCAAAAAAGGUGAAAGCGGAGGAGGCAGUGAGGAUGGGGAUUGUGGAUUCGGCGCACGAUAGCGCGGAGAGCACGGUGGAGGCUGCGGUGCGCCUGGCGGAGCAGUUGAGCGGUCGUAAAUGGAACGGCGAGGUGUAUGCUGAGAUCAGAAAAGCGAUGCAUCCCGAAGUAUGCGGACUGCUGGGAUUGUCUCAUAGGGCCGUUGUGGCGCCACGGCUUUGAGAAAUCAAAGUCAUUUCCUUGCUUUGUUAUUAAACCAUAAAUAUUAUCAAAAACUGUCUUAAAUCGUUCAGCACCGCCUCGGUUUGAUGAUCAUUCGCUGCGAAGGUCGUGAACAUCUGUGGCAUCUGUCCGAUCUUAUAUCCGUAUAAAUUAAGUGUACUCCUGUACUGCUGCACCCCCAAUUCUGCCAUUGUUGAGUCCCAAUAGAUGGUUUGCUUAAUUCCAAUUGAAGAAGAAAUAAUCGUCAAAUUUAUAUAUUUAAAUUCUCCUAAAAAAUAACCUAUUCCUAUUUUUCAUAUAAAUCUAUGAUUUUGAUUAUUUACUUAUAGAUUAAUAAGAAAAUUUAUUUACAAGAAAACCUGAGAACAA